rnacentral:rRNA from 1 species
AUCUAUUGUCAUACCACUCUGAACACACCUGAUCACAUCUGAAUCUUGGAAGCUAAGCAGGGAUUGGCCUGGUUAGUACUUGGAUAGGAGAAAAGGUAUUCCUCAUACAUU